GACGGGGGGGGCAAGUGUUCUUCGGAAUUACUGGGCGUAAAGGGCGUGUAGGCGGGAAGGCAAGUCGGGCGUGAAAGCCCCAGGCUCAACCUGGGAACUGCGUCUGAUACUGGAUGGCUUGAGAUUGGGAGAGGGAUGCGGAAUUCCGAGGUGUAGCGGUGAAAUGCGUAGAUAUCUGGAGGAACACCGGUGGCGAAGGCGGCAUCCUGGGACCAACACUGACGCUGAGGAGCGAAAAGCCAGGGGAGCAAAGCGGGAUUAAGCAA
rnacentral:rRNA from 1 species